AGCAGAAAAAGCAGUCACCACCAGGAAGCAGAUCCCGAUUGGUCAAGCGCCUGGAUGACGUCGCCACAGGUUCCGUAGGAUUGGUCAACCGAAACGCGGAAGUGGGAGAUGACUCAGCAGAAUGAAUGGCAAGUCCAUAAAUAUGGGGACGACUUGAUUGAAACGGGAAAACGCGUUCUCAUCGUUGGUAGUGUGGUGACAAAAAAGUCUUGUUGAGAAGCAGAGAACUUCCUAGUAAUGGAAUUCCCAAGCCUGGGUGAACACUGCUCUGAGAAGACUUGUAAACAAUUGGGUAAGAACUACAGACAUAUGAAGAGAUUGUGAUGACAUUUUGUUAUCUGUAAGGAUGGGAUGUCAG
rnacentral:lncRNA from 11 species